rnacentral:rRNA from 1 species
AUUGAACGCUGGCGGCAGGCCUAACACAUGCAAGUCGAGCGGAGCGGCGGAAGGGUGAGUAAUACCUAGGAAUCUGCCUGGUCGUGGGGGAUAACGUUCGGAAACGGACGCUAAUACCGCAUACUAUCGGAUGAACCUGGGUCGGAUUAGCUAGUUGGUGAGGGAAUGGCCCACCAAGGCCACGGUCCGUAACUGGUCUGAGAGGAUGAUCAGUCACACGGGAACUGAGACACGGUCCAGACUCCUACGGGAGGCAGCAGUGGGGAAUAUUGGACAAUGGGCGAAAGCCUGAUCCAGCCAUGCCGCGUGUGUGAAGAAGGUCUUCGGAUUGUAAAGCACUUUAAGUUGGGAGGCGUUACCGACAGAAUAAGCGCCGGCUAACUCUGUGCCAGCAGCCGCGGUAAUAC